rnacentral:rRNA from 1 species
GAUGAACGCUGGCGGCGUGCCUAAUACAUGCAAGUCGAGCGAACAGACGAGGAGCUUGCUCCUCUGACGUUAGCGGCGGACGGGUGAGUAACACGUGGAUAACCUACCUAUAAGACUGGGAUAACUUCGGGAAACCGGAGCUAAUACCGGAUAAUAUAUUGAACCGCAUGGUUCAAUAGUGAAAGACGGUUUUGCUGUCACUUAUAGAUGGAUCCGCGCCGCAUUAGCUAGUUGGUAAGGUAACGGCUUACCAAGGCAACGAUGCGUAGCCGACCUGAGAGGGUGAUCGGCCACACUGGAACUGAGACACGGUCCAGACUCCUACGGGAGGCAGCAGUAGGGAAUCUUCCGCAAUGGGCGAAAGCCUGACGGAGCAACGCCGCGUGAGUGAUGAAGGUCUUCGGAUCGUAAAACUCUGUUAUUAGGGAAGAACAAAUGUGUUAGUAACUAUGCACGUCUUGACGGUACCUAAUCAGAAAGCCACGGCUAACUUCGUG